rnacentral:lncRNA from 1 species
GGGUUCACCUUUUAUAGACGGAGGGGGCAACAAAUUGAUAGCGAUGCCUGUAACCAUCUGGUAGUGGGCCGCCCAGAGUCAGGAGGAAUUUAUUACGGAGGAUAGUGGAGUGGGAUCAUGGCUAUCGCCGUGGCUCGCCACGUGGAAUCAGUUACGAGGAGUGGAGCGGCAUCCGCUGUCGUGACUCGUCAGGGAGUGGUGGAAUCGCACAGGAUCCGCUGUAGGGAGUGGAGUAGAAUCGUGGCCAUUAAUACGGCCUGUCAGGGAGUGAUGGACCUACGUAGGGUCCACCAUAGGGAGUGGAGCAGUG